rnacentral:lncRNA from 1 species
UACUUCCACAAAACUGAUUAGGCCCUUCCUGGUCACACUUUCCGAAGAAGAGCGGCAAAACCUCGCUUACUCUGUUUAGACAGACGCUCCGGGAGAAGCUCGCGCCACAAGUCCCCAGACAGAAGUUGGGUUUGCUCGCGCGCGGGAAGGAGGCAGUAGAAGACCUCGGUACGUAACAGUGGAGCGUUACCUUGGCGUUAGUGUCUCAGUCUUGCUAGUUUGCGC